UUAACUCCCAGCAGGUGUCAGUCGGUCCCAGUAACUCCCAGCAGGUGUCAGUCGGUCCCAGUAAGCUCCCAGCAGGUGUCAGUCGGUCCCAGUAACUCCCAGCAGGUGUCAGUCGGUGUAACUCCCAGCAGGUGUCAGUCGGUCCCAGUAACUCCCAGCAGGUGUCAGUCGGUCCCAGUAACUCCCAGCAGGUGUCAGUCGGUCCCAGUAACUCCCAGCAGGUGUCAGUCAGUCCCAGUAACUCCCAGCAGGUGUCAGGGGUCCCAGUAACUCCCAGCAGGUGUCAGUCGGUCCCAGUAACUCCCAGCAGGUGUCAGU